rnacentral:hammerhead_ribozyme from 1 species
AUCCAGCUGACUAGUCUCAAAUAGGACGAAACACGCGUCCUGGAU